GCCGCCAUGAGCUUGAGUGGUCUUGAGUGCGGUCUUCAAAACCGUAGGUGAUUGGAUUCGCAGCGGUUCGAUUCCGCCCUGGUGGC
rnacentral:tRNA from 1 species